ACGAACGCUGGCGGCAUGCCUAACCCAUGCCAGUCGAACGAGACCUUCGGGUCUAGUGGCGCACGGGUGCGUCACGCGUGGGAACCUGCCCUUAGGUUCGGAAUAACUCCCCGAAAGGGGUGCUAAUACCGGAUAAUGUCUUCGGACCAAAGAUUUAUCGCCUUUGGAUGGGCCCGCGUUGGAUUAGCUAGUUGGUAGGGUAAAAGCCUACCAAGGCGACGAUCCAUAGCUGGUCUGAGAGGAUGAUCAGCCACACUGGGACUGAGACACGGCCCAGACUCCUACGGGAGGCAGCAGUGGGGAAUAUUGGACAAUGGGCGAAAGCCUGAUCCAGCAAUGCCGCGUGAGUGAUGAAGGCCUUAGGGUUGUAAAGCUCUUUUACCCGGGAUGAUAAUGACAGUACCGGGAGAAUAAGCUCCGGCUAACUCCGUG
rnacentral:rRNA from 1 species